GCUUCCCGCGGCCGCCUCUGUGUGUACAAACACAAAAGACACGCCGCGCGCGCCGCAGACGGAGAGCAAGCGAGGGAGCGAAGCAGGGAAUCCCCCCUUGGCCCUCCUGGCUUCCUUCCCCUGCCAGAGGGGAGCACGAGGCCCCAGGUCAGCGCCCAACGGUCCAGCGGGAGGAGACCCCUAACCGCCAGGAUCCGGCGGCGCGAGGUCAGGGCCAACGGUCUCUCUGCGUUGCUUCGGGCAUUAGGGGAUGGCUUGGGGGCCCCUCGCUGCUCCUGGACUGAACUCUCAGCCCCGCCUCCAGCUUAGGGUGGCCCAAGCCUGUGAAACUCUGGAGGCCAGGGGUGCCAACCUGAAUGAAAUAUAGGGGGCACAAGAGGACUGACAUCAUUGCAGCACUUGCAGUGGAUUUUUAUGCAAUGCGCAGAUUACAGUUCGAGUCAACAAGUGGUGAGCAGAAAGUGAGGUGUUUGGAGUUGGUGAACUGGCCCUCAUGAAGUCCAACUUCAAUGUUUUGCUCCUCGAGUAAUUCUACAGCUUGCCUUCCUCAGAAUAUUCACAUUCAAGCUUAAACCACUAGCUCCACCAGCUUAGGUGGCUUCAGUGACUGGCAGCAUACUCUUUUUAUCCUCAUCUGUAAAAACCACAAUACAGUGGAAUGUCAGUUUUCGAACAUAAUCCAUUCCGGAAAUCUGUUCGACGUUCAAAAAUCAAGGAUCAAAGGUCUGGCUGCAAAGUCAAUGUGGAAAAAAGAAAAAUGUGCCACAGAAGCCAUUCACCUUCCAAGGCGCAUUCGAAAACGGAAGCAUUCACUUCUGGGUUUUCGGUGUUCAGCUUACAAAACAUUCAGCAGCUGAGACUUUCAAAAAUUGAGGUUUGACUGUACUGGAACUUCUGGACCAUACACACAGAGAGAGAUUUGUAAUGCCCAGAUUUAAAGAAUGAGAGCUAGCUUAAAGGAAUAAAAACUUCAUUCCACAA